UACGUAGGGGGCAAGCGUUGUCCGGAUUUAUUGGGCGUAAAGAGCGUGUAGGCGGCCAAGCAGGUCAGCUGUGAAAACUCGAGGCUCAACCUCGAGACGUCGGUUGAAACCGCUUGGCUAGAGUCCGGAAGAGGAGAGUGGAAUUCCUGGUGUAGCGGUGAAAUGCGCAGAUAUCGGGAGGAACACCGGUGGCGAAGGCGGCGAUCUGGGUAGAUACUGACGCUGAGGUGCGAAAGCGUGGGGAGCAAACAGG
rnacentral:rRNA from 1 species